AAUGAAAACCGCCCAGGGGCCUAUGAAAUUCAUCUCUCUGUUAAGGAUUACUGCUUUGCCCGAGAAGAUCGAAUCAUCGGAAUGACAGUCAUUCAGCUACGGAACAUAGCAGAAAAGGGAAGCUAUGGGGCAUGGUAUCCUCUUUUGAAAAAUAUCUCGAUGGAUGAAACUGGUUUGACUAUCCUUAGAAUACUCUCUCAGAGGACUGGCGAUGAUGUGGCUAAAGAGUUUGUGAGACUUAAAUCUGAAACAAGAUCUACAGAAGAGAGUGCUUGAAAUGAAUACUCCAAGAUGGGAUCUUUGAGAAUUCACAAACUAUUAUUGUUUGACUGCUGCAUGCAUGUACAAAUACAUGGGAAUGUUUAUUUCACUACAUUUCAAUGUUUGCAGGUACUCAAGUACAAUGUCUACAAGGUAUGUAGAAACCCUGAACUUUUAUACCGAUGCUGGUCUUUGGAAAAUAAAUGUUCCAUGAAGUGCCAAAAUUACGAUGUAAAGUGAAAUAUCCAAAAUAUCUCUUAAAAUGUUUAUUUCAUUUCAUUUCCAAUCUCUCAUCUGUUAAACAUACUAAAAAACAGUUAGUCUUUUGAGUUUGUACAUUAGCUGUCUGUUAAAUUAGUUUAUAUUGCUCACAGUUCAGAAAGCAUCCAUUACUGAAAUUUUGUUUUAUUUAGACUUACCUCGUUGUAGAUGUCUUACAAUUACCCUUUUCUACCAUAACUAGAAAUGCAGCCCCUUCUAGAAAGCAUUUGUAAUUUUAUAGUUACAGAUAUAUUGUGAUGAUUUUUGCAUAUAAAAUAGAAAAGGUGGGAAAUAUUUUAUGUUGACCAGUUUCCAACCUUUCUGAAAUAUCACUGUGAAGAAAUGCUAUUAAAGCAAACUUAUACAAAGCAAUGCUAAAUAGAGUUUAACAAUGUUUGAUAUAUUGACAAAAUUUUGUUCUUUAAAACUGCCACGGUCACAUCACAUUUGUAAAAAAGAUAAGUCGAUGCAUUUGGUAUAUAGCAUUAUAUCUCAGCUUUACCAUAUUUUAUUCUUUAGAAAGUCAUAGGAUUAAAAGUGUAGAAAUGAGAUGGAAGGUUCGUUUCUUAAAAUUACCUGUGAUAAAUAACUAUAUUGUUAGUAUUUUCCCUCUGACAGUUAUGACUAAUUCCUUAUUUACUUAACUCUAUAAUCAGUUAAAUGUUUUCUCUUUAAAAAUAUUCAAUAAUUUGUACUGAAUGUAGCAUUACUAUAUAUUGCACUGGAGCCAAAAGUCAUGUCUUCAUGUAUUUAGUGAAAAAAUGUAAAAUGAAGUCUGAAGAAAUUGCUACAAUUUUGUAAUUUGUUCUUUAUAAGCCCAAAAUGCAUCAGAUGCAAUAGGAAAACAACUUCGUACAGCUCAGUACAUAAAAAUAUACCUAGGUUGGUUUUUGAAUAUGAAAUAGUUUAUGAAUAUUUGCAUUUUCUGUAUUUUUAUGGUUUGACUUUUUGGAGUCUGUACCUAAAUACUUGGCUGUAGAACAGUACUUUGUCAUUGUAAGUUAUGGUCAUAACUGUUAGUGGAUUUCCUAUAUAUGCAGAAACAAAAACCUGUUAAAAUGACUGUAUUUUGUGAACAAGCUGAUCUGAUAGGUUAAGAACAGAAGUGACUAGUAUCAUGACUCUUGGAACCAUGCUGCUACUGGGUGUGAAAACACGGACCAGUGAGACAGGCUAAUUCAUGUUAAAUUGUUAGGCAACUGCUUUGUUAAUGACUUCUCCAAAUGCAUAGUUAUGAUGUGAUCCUCUGGCAUAUGCAUUAAUAAAUGGAUGUAUAUUGAACACA